AGACGGAGGGCGCGAGCGUUGUUCGGAAUUACUGGGCGUAAAGCGCGCGCAGGCGGAUGGGCAAGUCGGAAGUGAAAUUCCGGGGCUCAACCCCGGACCGGCUUCCGAUACUGUUCGUCUAGGGACCGGUAGGGGCCGGUGGAAUUCCCGGUGUAGCGGUGGAAUGCGUAGAGAUCGGGAAGAACACCCGUGGCGAAGGCGGCCGGCUGGGCCGGAUCCGACGCUGAGGCGCGAAAGCGUGGGGAGCAAACAGGAUUAGAUACCCUGGUAGUCCACGCCGUAAACGAUGGGUGCUGGAUGCCGGGGGGAGCGACCCCUUCGGUGUCGUAGCUAACGCGUUAAGCACCCCGCCUGGGGAGUACGGCCGCAAGGCUGAA
rnacentral:rRNA from 1 species